CAGUCAAUAUAACAAAAGACAGGAAUAAUUUAUAUAUGCAUUUUAAUAACAUCAUGUUGAAAAAAAAAAUUAUAAUAGACAAAAUCAGAUUGAAAAAUAUAUAUUCUAUAGCAAAUAAAACAGUGGAAACAAACGUUUUAAAUGUAAAACACAAUGUUAUAAUUAAAAAAUUAUAUAAUUAUAUAAAUACAAAAUGUCCCCAACAAAAUAAAAAAACAUUGUAUUUAGUUAAUAAAAAUAAAAUUACACAUAAUUUAAAAAAUAGUAAGAUAGACAUAAAAUACUACUUUUUAAAAAAUGUAACAGAUACAAAGAACGUCAUAAAAAAAAUUUUUUUUUUUGCAAAAUUUUUUGAAAAAAAAUAUUUGAACAUCAAAAAAUAUAGUUACAUUAAAAUAAAAGGUACUACUGAUUUUAAAAGUAUGUCGGCUUAUUUGACAGAGAUUUCUACUUAUUUAAAAAAUAUGUUUUCUCUAUCCAAAACGACUUGUACUCAUUUCAAACUGAAUCAUUUUUAUUAUCUAAAAAGGCAAAAACCAAAUGAAAAAAAAGAAUUUGAUCUAUCAAAUAUAAUUUCUUUUAUAUUAACAAGUCUUAGUAACACUAAAAAAAAAAUUUACAAAAAAGAAAAAAAAGAAAAAAAAAGCCAACGUAUACAACUACAUUUUACUAAGAAAAUAACAAAAUCGAAUGACCAAAUAAAUAACAGUUUUAACAAAAUAAACUCUUUAAAAAAUAAUAUGUUUUUUCAAAAAAUGCGCAUAUAUAUUUUACAUAUGCCAUAUGAAAAAAACGACUAUGUGAUUGUAAAAAAAAUGCAAAUAAUAUUAGCAACCGAAAUAAUGACAAUGAUGAGUACAACUAAUUGCUUAAGGAAUAGUACAGACUUAAACCCAAUAAUAUGCAACCAACUAAAUAAGAAAAAACAAAAUAUAAAAUUGUUGAACUACAAUGAAAAUAUAAAAAAAGGUAUGAACAUAAUAAAUGUAAAAAAUGAAAGUUACAAUAAAAAAGUGAAACUAUGUAUCAAUUCAGACACAACUUUAAAAAUUAAAACUGAUAAUGAAUACACGAAAAAAUAUAUCUUACAAACAUAUAUUAUUAAUUAUAUAAACAAUUUGAG
rnacentral:lncRNA from 1 species